rnacentral:rRNA from 1 species
UACGAAGGGGGCUAGCGUUGCUCGGAAUCACUGGGCGUAAAGGGUGCGUAGGCGGGUCUUUAAGUCGAGGGUGAAUCCGUGGAGCUCAACUCCAGAACUGCCUUUGAUACUGAAGAUCUUGAGUUCGGGAGAGGUGAGUGGAACUGCGAAGUGUAGAGGUGAAAUUUGUAGAUAUUCGCAAGAACACCAGUGGCGAAGGCGGCUCACUGGCCCGGUACUGACGCUGAGGCACGGAAAGCGUGGGGAGCAAAC